AACGAACGCUGGCGGCAUGCCUAACACAUGCAAGUCGAACGAGACCUUCGGGUCUAGUGGCGCACGGGUGCGUAACGCGUGGGAACCUGCCCUUAGGUUCGGAAUAACUCCCUGAAAGGGGUGCUAAUACCGGUUAAUGUCUUCGGACCAAAGAUUUAUCGCCUUUGGAUGGGCCCGCGUUGGAUUAGCUAGUUGGUAGGGUAAAAGCCUACCAAGGCGACGAUCCAUAGCUGGUCUGAGAGGAGGAUCAGCCACACUGGGACUGAGACACGGCCCAGACUCCUACGGGAGGCAGCGGUGGGGAAUAUUGGGCAAUGGGCGAAAGGCUGAUCCAGCAAGGCCGCGUGAGUGAUGAAGGCCUUAGGGUUGUAAAGCUCUUUUACCCGGGAUGAUAAUGACAGUACCGGGAGAAUAAGCACCGGCUAACUACGUG
rnacentral:rRNA from 1 species